rnacentral:rRNA from 1 species
UACGUAGGGUCCGAGCGUUGUCCGGAAUUACUGGGCGUAAAGAGCUCGUAGGUGGUUUGUCGCGUUGUUCGUGAAAACUCACAGCUUAACUGUGGGCGUGCGGGCGAUACGGGCAGACUGGAGUACUGCAGGGGAGACUGGAAUUCCUGGUGUAGCGGUGGAAUGCGCAGAUAUCGGGAGGAACACCGGUGGCGAAGGCGGUUCUCUGGGCCUUACCUGACGCUGAGGAGCGAAAGCGUGGGGAGCGAACAGG